GUAAUCAGGUCCGUACCUAAUUAGCUCACGUCAUGUUUCACCUGGUUGUCUUAUGUGUUUGUACUAGCGGCGCCAUUUUUAAUUUUUAACCAUGUGCACCAGAAUCUGGCGAAUCAACCCAUUGCGAUAUAUGCAUUACUAUAAUCCGGUCUUUUGUUAGAGAUAGAGUUCCGAAAGAACACACAUUUGUUAGUAAAUAUCGAAUUGUACGGGGGAAGUGCAUGGUCAGCAUUUAAAAAAAAAAAAUAGACAAAUCAGUCCGGAGUCGUCAGUGGUGUUGGUUUUGUCACAAACAAACGCUAUGACCAAAUGGUUUGAGUUGCAAAGUCUUAAGUCACUCUGUUGGAAUCUGGAGAGUAACACGUGGAUGUGUUUAAUUUUGCAGUAGAAAGCUAAACAAACACAAGCCAUACUAUCCACCAAAAGACUCCGGAACGAGGUGGCUGUUUGACGCGGACAAGGUUAAACAAUGCAAAAGACUGGUGGAGGUGAAUAAUGGCUUGUCUUGAAAAUUUACUCAAUGGUCCUUCAAGAACAACUCAUGGUGUAGACUAAGAGAAAAAUAAAGCACUGUGUGAAACGCAGUAGGAGCUCAACCUUCCAGAGCCUCUACUCAUCACAGAAUGCCAAACAAGAUUGGGACCCAGGCAAAUGAUGAGUGCUGGAGCAGAACUUGGCCUUGAUUCAAGUCUUCUCUGGAGACCAAAAACAAUCAAGGCACCUGAUCCCAUUAUGGCAGGACGUAGAUGUUCUGGGAUCAUUCAGCAAGUCACUGAGCCCGCUCCAGGAGUUCAGAUGCCCCCUCUGGUGAGUUCAUUUCCUUACCUGAAGCCAGUUCUUCAUCUGUUCAACCCAACCUGGCUAGCACUGGGUGAAGUCGAAGAGGAAACUGAACUCAGUCUGUGAAAACAAAUGUGAGGCUACUUGAACAAUUUGCAUGGAGACCCUGGCACACGAGAUUCUGGACAUGGUCUCUUUCCUUGACCUAUGGUCUAAAAUGGAGUAUGUCAGUGUGGACAAAGCGCCAAGCAUUAUGAAAAGAGUAACUUCAGAGAUGGAAAUGACAUCACGCCAGGAAAUGUGGCAUUCUGGGACAGUAAAAAUCAAAGAAGGCCAAGAUGUCAUUGGGCAGCCUCUUCAAGACAAACCACACCCACUUACCCUUCUCUGAUCCUCCAUAGAGGGCGUUGUGGUUUGCAACCUCUUGAUUAUGUGUAUGUUUUGUUACGAUUUAGCUAGUCUAGAUUGUAAGGGACAAGAGGCCAGCUGUGUUUAUAACCACUCUGGGAGUCGCACACUCUGCUAACCUCUGGAAUAUAUGUUUAUAUUGACCAUUCUGCUUGGGGGUAGAAUGUGGUAGAGUGAAUGUGUCAGAGAAUGUAAAUGCGUCAUUCUGGGUAGACAUCUAAUGUUGAGAUUGGUGUAUGGAACAUUCAUGAGGACAACUAUGCUACAAUUCCAAUAAAUACCGAAUGUAUCACUCCCUUGAGUCAACCU